AUCUAUGGCCUUCCACCCUGAACGUGCCCUAUCUCAUCUGAUCUUGAAAGCUAAGCAAGUUCGGGCCUGGUUAGUACUUGGAUGGGAGACCACCUAGGAAUACCAGGUGUUGUAGGCA
rnacentral:rRNA from 1 species